rnacentral:ncRNA from 1 species
AUAUAUUGAAUUAAUGUUUGAGCGCCGCAGGAAACGGAAGACGGUGAAAAUCCGUCGCAGGCGCGCUGCUGUAACCGGAAGGCCGAUGUAAAUCGGAGAUAGUGGUGCAGACUCACCGGUAAAACGGGAAGGGAAUGCACUGUGCGUCAAAUUUGAUCCGGAAGCCAGAAGACGUCCUGCGGAAAUAGGUGCCUAG